GGGAGAGGUUGAGACGCUGGUGCACUCCACGGUCUUCAAAACCGAUUGGGACGUCUUGUUAGACGUUUGGUGGGUUCGAUUCCCAUCCUUUCUCGCCA
rnacentral:tRNA from 1 species